rnacentral:misc_RNA from 1 species
AAGUCGUAACAAGGUUUCCGUAGGUGAACCUGCGGAAGGAUCAUUAAUACAUCUGAGCGCACUUUAAUGUGACUCUUUGUAUCCCAUUUACCCCCCAACCCAGAGGUGCAUUGUGGCCCGUCAAACGGUUAGCAGUGUAUCAGUACGUAUGACAAAGUCUGACUUUGGCUUACAUUACCCAUAAGUUACCCCCCAUUUACACUUAUACAGUUUUAAGAAUGAUACCUAUAAUUAUAUAA